UACAGAGGUCUCAAGCGUUGUUCGGAUUCAUUGGGCGUAAAGGGUGCGUAGGUGGCGUCGUAAGUCGGGGUGUGAAAUUUCGGAGCUUAACUCCGAAACUGCAUUCGAUACUGCGGUGCUUGAGGACUGGAGAGGAGACUGGAAUUUACGGUGUAGCAGUGAAAUGCGUAGAGAUCGUAAGGAAGACCAGUGGCGAAGGCGGGUCUCUGGACAGUUCCUGACACUGAGGCACGAAGGCCAGGGGGAGC
rnacentral:rRNA from 1 species